AAUUUUGGACAAUGGGGGCAACCCUGAUCCAGCCAUCCCGCGUGUGCGAUGAAGGCCUUCGGGUUGUAAAGCACUUUUGGCAGGGAGGAAAAGGCUCUGGCUACUACCUGGAGCUGCUGACGGUACCUGCACAAUAAGGACCGGCUAACUACGCGCCCGCAGCCGCGGUAAUCCGUAGGGUGCAAGCGUUAUUCGGAAUUACUGGGUGUAAAGCGUGCGCAGGCGGUUCGGCAAGAAGGAUGUGAAAACCCAGGGCUUAACCUUGGAACUGCAUUCUUAACUGCCGGGCUAGAGUAUGACAGAGGGGGGUAGAAGUCCGCGUGUAGCAGUGAAAUGCGUAGAGAUGCGGAGGAAUACCGAUGGCGAAGGCAGCCCCCUGGGAUAAUACUGACGCUCAUGCACGAAAGCGUGGGGAGCAAACA
rnacentral:rRNA from 1 species